rnacentral:rRNA from 1 species
GAUGAACGCUGGCGGCGUGCCUAAUACAUGCAAGUCGAGCGAAUGGAUUAAGAGCUUGCUCUUAUGAAGUUAGCGGCGGACGGGUGAGUAACACGUGGGUAACCUGCCCAUAAGACUGGGAUAACUCCGGGAAACCGGGGCUAAUACCGGAUAAUAUUUUGAACCGCAUGGUUCGAAAUUGAAAGGCGGCUUCGGCCGUCACUUAUGGAUGGACCCGCGUCGCAUGAGCUAGUUGGUGAGGUAACGGCUCACCAAGGCAACGAUGCGUAGCCGACCUGAGAGGGUGAUCGGCCACACUGGGACUGAGACACGGCCCAGACUCCUACGGGAGGCAGCAGUAGGGAAUCUUCCGCAAUGGACGAAAGUCUGACGGAGCAACGCCGCGUGAGUGAUGAAGGCUUUCGGGUCGUAAAACUCUGUUGUUAGGGAAGAACAAGUGCUAGUUGAAUAAGCUGGCACCUUGACGGUACCUAACCAGAAAGCCACGGCUAACUACGUGCCAGCCGCCGCCGUAA